CCGCUCAUGGUCUAGCAGGAUUAUGACGUCCGACUGUAAUGGAAACAAUUCAUCGGAAGGUGGCUGGUUCGAUUCCAGUUGAGCGGA
rfam:Talaromyces islandicus isolate WF-38-12 genome assembly, contig: WF-38-12_scaffold00002